GAUGAAGAACGUAGCGAAAUGCGAUAAGUAAUGUGAAUUGCAGAAUUCAGUGAAUCAUCGAGUCUUUGAACGCACAUUGCGCCCCCUGGUAUUCCGGGGGGCAUGCCUGUCCGAGCGUCAUUGCUGCCCUCAAGCACGGCUUGUGUGUUGGGCCCCCGUCCCCGGUUUCCCCCGGGGACGGGCCCGAAAGGCAGCGGCGGCACCGCGUCCGGUCCUCGAGCGUAUGGGGCUUUGUCACCCGCUCUGUAGGCCCGGCCGGCGCCAGCCGACACCCAACUUUAUUCCUAAGGUUGACCUCGGAUCAGGUAGGGAUACCCGCUGAACUUAAGCAUAUCAAUAAGCGGAGGA
rnacentral:misc_RNA from 1 species